rnacentral:rRNA from 1 species
UACGGGGGGAGCAAGCGUUGUUCGGAUUUACUGGGCGUAAAGGGCGCGUAGGCGGCGCAACAAGUCACUUGUGAAAUCUCCGGGCUUAACCCGGAGCGGCCAAGUGAUACUGUCGUGCUAGAGUGCGGAAGGGGCUACUGGAAUUCUCGGUGUAGCGGUGAAAUGCGUAGAUAUCGAGAGGAACACCUGCGGCGAAGGCGGCCAACUGGUCCGGUACUGACGCUGAGGUGCGAAAGCGUGGGGAGCAAACAGG